GACGAACGCUGGCGGCGUGCUUAACACAUGCAAGUCGAACGCUGAAGCUUGGUGCUUGCCCUGGGUGGAUGAGUGGCGAACGGGUGAGUAAUACGUGAGUAACCUGCCCUUGACUCUGGGAUAAGCCUGGGAAACUGGGUCUAAUACUGGAUACGACAUGCCACUGCAUGGUGGUGUGUGGAAAGGGUUUUACUGGUUUUGGAUGGGCUCACGGCCUAUCAGCUUGUUGGUGGGGUAAUGGCCUACCAAGGCGACGACGGGUAGCCGGCCUGAGAGGGUGACCGGCCACACUGGGACUGAGACACGGCCCAGACUCCUACGGGAGGCAGCAGUGGGGAAUAUUGCACGAUGGGCGGAAGCCUGAUGCAGCGACGCCGCGUGAGGGAUGACGGCCUUCGGGUUGUAAACCUCUUUCAGCACGGAAGAAGCGAGAGUGACGGUACGUGCAGAAGAAGCGCCGGCUAACUACGUG
rnacentral:rRNA from 1 species